UUUUUUGGUUUUAAAAAUAAAAUGUUCACGUAAGAGAAUACCAGUUUCUCUAUUAAAUAUAAGUAAGUGUUUGUAAGGAUUAGAAGAUUUCGAUACUCUAAGGCAAUCUGGACUUUCUGUCCUGCCCAAUCUUCACCCUUGUAGUAAUUCUCUGAGCUUUCACUAUUCAAUCAUCCCACAAUAUAAACAAGAAACUAUCUCAAAAAUCUGAAUUAAAGCAUAAUCGGGCACAUCUGAUACCGCUUAUACAGGAAGACGCACACUAUGGGCCUUGGGAACCGCAAGAGCAGUUUAAGCAGCAAGUGUCAAAGAUUUUCACCGACCUGAGGAAAUAUCAAUCUGGCUCAUCUUGGCCUGUGUGACGUUGAUGCGAACGCCCACUUUGCUGUCUGUGAGGUCAAUCUCCACGUUGCCCAAGUUGUCCCCAAAGCGACUGAAAAGCAGAAGACCAUUGGGGUUCCAAGUCCUAAACUGGAAACUGACUGAAAACAGGUCCUGCUCCGGCCGCCCGGGUACCUCCAGGGAGACGACGUCCUUCAGGGUUUUCAUCUUCUUGUUUCUGAAUCUAUACGGCAACACGACAUGGCCAUCAAAGUUGAUAACAUCGGCCCCUAAAAGAAGAAGAAAGAAACACCUUGUUAAUUUAGUCGUUCUGCGUUCCCACCCACUCCAGUGGAUAGCUACAUGGAAGAAAUGGGAAUUAAAGAUGUGUUUCCUG
rnacentral:lncRNA from 1 species